CGUAGGUGACCAGCGUUGUCCGGAUUUACUGGGCGUAAAGAGCGCGCAGGCGGUCGUUCAAGUCGAGUGUGAAAGCCCCCGGCUCAACUGGGGAGGGUCACUCGAUACUGAUCGACUUGAAGGCAGGAGAGGGAAGCGGAAUUCCCGGUGUAGUGGUGAAAUGCGUAGAUAUCGGGAGGAACACCAGUGGCGAAGGCGGCUUCCUGGCCUGUUCUUGACGCUGAGGCGCGAAAGCUAGGGGAGCAAACGGGAUUAGAUACCCCGGUAGUCCUAGCCGUAAACGAUGGACACUAGGUGUUGGUGGUAUCAACCCCACCAGUGCCGAAGCUAACGCAUUAAGUGUCCCGCCUGGGGAGUACGGCGGCAAGGCUA
rnacentral:rRNA from 1 species